rnacentral:rRNA from 1 species
UUGAGCGGGGGACAACAUUUGGAAACGAAUGCUAAUACCGCAUAAAAACUUUAAACACAAGUUUUAAGUUUGAAAGAUGCAAUUGCAUCACUCAAAGAUGAUCCCGCGUUGUAUUAGCUAGUUGGUGAGGUAAAGGCUCACCAAGGCGAUGAUACAUAGCCGACCUGAGAGGGUGAUCGGCCACAUUGGGACUGAGACACGGCCCAAACUCCUACGGGAGGCAGCAGUAGGGAAUCUUCGGCAAUGGACGAAAGUCUGACCGAGCAACGCCGCGUGAGUGAAGAAGGUUUUCGGAUCGUAAAACUCUGUUGGUAGAGAAGAACGUAGGUGAGAGUGGAAAGCUCAUCAAGUGACGGUAACUACCCAGAAAGGGACGGCUAACUACGUGCCAGCAGCCGCGGUAAUACGUAGGUCCCGAGCGUUGUCCGGAUUUAUUGGGCGUAAAGCGAGCGCAGGUGGUUUAUUAAGUCUGGUGUAAAAGGCAGUGGCUCAACCAUUGUAUGCAUUGGAAACUGGUAGACUUGAGUGCAGGAGAGGAGAGUGGAAUUCCAUGUGUAGCGGUGAAAUGCGUAGAUAUAUGGAGGAACACCGGUGGCGAAAGCGGCUCUCUGGCCUGUAACUGACACUGAGGCUCGAAAGCGUGGGGAGCAAACAGGAUUAGAUACCCUGGUAGUCCACGCCGUAAACGAUGAGUGCUAGAUGUAGGGAGCUAUAAGUUCUCUGUAUCGCAGCUAACGCAAUAGGCACUCCGCCUGGGGAGUACGACCGCAAGGUUGAAACUCAAAGGAAUUGACGGGGGCCCGCACAAGCGGUGGAGCAUGUGGUUAAUUCGAAGCAACGCGAAGAACCUUACCAGUCUUGACAUACUCGUGCUAU